CCUACGGGAGGCAGCAGUGGGGAAUUUUCCGCAAUGGGCGAAAGCCUGACGGAGCAAUACCGCGUGAGGGAAGACUGCCUAUGGGUUGUAAACCUCUUUUUUCAGGGAGGAAUAAAAUGACGUGUACCUG
rnacentral:rRNA from 1 species